rnacentral:rRNA from 1 species
AGUGAACGCUGGCGGCGUGCCUAAUACAUGCAAGUCGAACGGAAUUUAAAAGAGCUUGCUCUUUUGAAUUUAGUGGCGCACGGGUGAGUAAUAUAUAGCUAAUCUGCCCCUUGCUGGAGGACAACAGUUAGAAAUGACUGCAAAUACUCCAUACUCCUUUUUACCAUAAGAUAAAUCGGGAAAGAAUUUCGGCAAGGGAUGAGACUAUAUCGUAUCAGCUAGUCGGUGGGGUAACGGCCUACCGAGGCUAUGACGCGUAACUGGUCUGAGAGGAUGAUCAGUCACAUUGGAACUGAGACACGGUCCAAACUCCUACGGGAGGCAGCAGUAGGGAAUAUUGCGCAAUGGGGGAAACCCUGACGCAGCAACGCCGCGUGGAGGAUGACACUUUUCGGAGCGUAAACUCCUUUUGUUAGGGAAGAAUAAUGACGGUACCUAACGAAUAAGCACCGGCUAA